GUUUAGCUCAGUUGGUAAGAGCGUGGUGCUGAUAAUGCCAAGGUUGCAGGUUUGAUCCCCGUAUGGGACA
rnacentral:tRNA from 1 species